rnacentral:rRNA from 1 species
GACGUAGGGCGCAAGCGUUGUCCGGAUUUAUUGGGCGUAAAGAGCUCGUAGGCGGUUUGUCGCGUCUGCUGUGAAAACCCGAGGCUCAACCUCGGGCCUGCAGUGGGUACGGGCAGACUAGAGUGCGGUAGGGGAGAUUGGAAUUCCUGGUGUAGCGGUGGAAUGCGCAGAUAUCAGGAGGAACACCGAUGGCGAAGGCAGAUCUCUGGGCCGUAACUGACGCUGAGGAGCGAAAGCGUGGGGGAGCGAACAGG